rnacentral:rRNA from 1 species
AUUGAACGCUGGCGGCAUGCCUUACACAUGCAAGUCGAACGGCAGCACGGGAGCAAUCCUGGUGGCGAGUGGCGAACGGGUGAGUAAUGUAUCGGAACGUGCCCAGUUGUGGGGGAUAACUGCUCGAAAGAGCAGCUAAUACCGCGUACGACCUGAGGGUGAAAGCGGGGGAUCGCAAGACCUCGCGCAAUUGGAGCGGCCGAUAUCAGAUUAGGUAGUUGGGGGGGUAAAGGCCCACCAAGCCAACGAUCUGUAGCUGGUCUGAGAGGACGACCAGACACACUGGGACUGAGACACGGCCCAGACUCCUACGGGAGGCAGCAGUGGGGAAUUUUGGACAAUGGACGCAAGUCUGAUCCAGCCAUGCCGCGUGCGGGAAGAAGGCCUUCGGGUUGUAAACCGCUUUUGUCAGGGAAGAAACGGCUUUCUCUAAUACAGAGGGCUAAUGACGGUACCUGAAGAAUAAGCACCGGCUAACUACGUGCCAGCAGCCGCCGUAACAC